GACGAACGCUGGCGGCGUGCCUAAUACAUGCAAGUAGAACGCUGAAGGAGGAGCUUGCUUCUCUGGAUGAGUUGCGAACGGGUGAGUAACGCGUAGGUAACCUGCCUGGUAGCGGGGGAUAACUAUUGGAAACGAUAGCUAAUACCGCAUAACAGUAGAUAUCGCAUGAUAGCUGCUUGAAAGGUGCAAUUGCACCACUACCAGAUGGACCUGCGUUGUAUUAGCUAGUUGGUGAGGUAACGGCUCACCAAGGCGACGAUACAUAGCCGACCUGAGAGGGUGAUCGGCCACACUGGGACUGAGACACGGCCCAGACUCCUACGGGAGGCAGCAGUAGGGAAUCUUCGGCAAUGGACGGAAGUCUGACCGAGCAACGCCGCGUGAGUGAAGAAGGUUUUCGGAUCGUAAAGCUCUGUUGUAAGAGAAGAACGAGUGUGAGAGUGGAAAGUUCACACUGUGACGGUAUCUUACCAGAAAGGGACGGCUAACUACGUGCCAGCAGCCGCGGUAAUACGUAGGUCCCGAGCGUUGUCCGGAUUUAUUGGGCGUAAAGCGAGCGCGGGCGGUUAGAUAAGUCUGAAGUUAAAGGCUGUGGCUUAACCAUAAUACGCUUUGGAAACUGUUUAACUUGAGUGCAAGAGGGGAGAGUGGAAUUCCAUGUGUAGCGGUGAAAUGCGUAGAUAUAUGGAGGAACACCGGUGGCGAAAGCGGCUCUCUGGCUUGUAACUGACGCUGAGGCUCGAAAGCGUGGGGAGCAAACAGG
rnacentral:rRNA from 1 species